UCAACACCAGCUAGAGC
rnacentral:piRNA from 1 species